rnacentral:tRNA from 1 species
GGAGAUAAUAGCUCAGCUGGUUAGAGCGUCGGAUUGUGGUUCCGAAGGUCGUGGGUUCGACCCCCAUUUGUCUCCC